GCACCCGAUUGCGUCUUGAUUGCACUCUGUACUAGUACUACGCUCAGCUCGGAAACUACGACCCACCCGGCAGCCAGAGGGAGGGAAGGAAAGGGGGAGAAGGAGACACCGCGGCGGGCGGAGGCAAUGGCGACGGCGACGGCGACGGCGACGUGCCUGCUGGCGGUCUGGGCGCUGGUCGCCGCCGGCCUGUUCGGCACGGGCCUCGCCCGGGCGUCCGUGGCCCCGGCCGCGGUGGGGAAGGAGCAGCGCGAGUUCGACUACUUCGCGCUGGCGCUGCAGUGGCCAGGCACCAUCUGCUCCUCCACCCGCCACUGCUGCGCCGUCAACGGCUGCUGCCGGUCGGAGGCGCUCCACACCUUCACGAUCCACGGGCUGUGGCCGGACUACGAUGACGGGACCUGGCCGUCGUGCUGCCGCCACACCAGCUUCGACAUGGACAAGUUAACGCCUCUGAAGCCCACUCUGGACAAAUACUGGCCGUCCCUCUACUGUUCGACCUCUUCCACCUGCUUCAGUGGCAGGGGCCCCUUCUGGGCUCAUGAGGUAUUGUGUCAGAACUGACGGAUUGAACUCUAAAAUUACCCACCGAUCGGAAUUGUCACUAACCUUUGUGCUGUUUCCCCUUACCUGCUGUUUUGCAUAAUGACAUUGGCAUGUGCUGCUCGAUCGGUCAUUCGUGGAUUACUAUCGUUUAGUGGGAGAAGCAUGGAACAUGCUCGGCCCCUGUUGUUCAUGAAGAAUUACAGUACUUCACCACCGCCCUUGAUCUCUACUACAAAUAUAACGUUACAGAAAUGCUGGCGACUGGAGAUAUCCUGGUCUCCAACGGUAAAGAAUAUGCACUGAGUGAUGUCAUUGAUACCAUCAAGCAUGCUUUUGGGGGCUCACCGCAGAUCAUAUGCAAGAAGGGCUCAGUUGAAGAACUAAGGUUAUGCUUCACCAAGGAUUUGAAGCCUCGCGAUUGCCUUACUACUUCGGCAAUGUACAAGAACCUAUCGAAGUCGAAGCAUUGCCCUAAAAAAAUCUCCCUGCCAACAUAUGAUCCCAUCGUACUCACAAAUUCGACACUGGAGAUUGUCCCAGAAGCCAGCGACAACGGGUUGUACUUCUUUACAUCCUAAGAUACCGAGCAUUGCUGGGCUAUGAGGAAACAGAUGCCUUCACGGUUCUGACUGCUUGCAAGACCGUAGCCACAGGUGCUGGGCACUGGAGAUCCGGCUAAAACGGGUUUCUGGUUUGUCCAUACUAUUUGUAAAGGACAACAUUCCACGUUUGAACAACAUGGUUCGAUUAUGUUCUGAUUUGUAAAACCGCUGGAUAUCAAACUCAUGUUACUCAUUGCAUGUAUGAAUAAUGGAUGUUAAAUGUACAUAUUAGUUCAUUCUAUUGCUGAAGGAUGUGGC
rnacentral:rRNA from 1 species